rnacentral:lncRNA from 1 species
CUUUAUACAAGAUAAGGAUUCCGAUACAAUUUUUAAAAAUAUAAAGAUCAAAAUAUUAAAAAUAAUUAAUUACAUGGGCUAACAUGUAACUAACUCCUCUGUCUGCUACACAGAAAUAUGAUUUCAUGAAACGUCCGACACCAUUCAACGUGGCUUCCUCGACUAAUUCUAACUGCUCCGUUGGAGCUGUUGUCACUGUCAUCAGUCCGGUCCUAAAAGUCCCUCACGUCUUUUGGAGCUCAAACUCGGUUUAGAUUACGGUGAUUCAAAUCUAUUUUAGACAAAGCCCACCAAGCAGAUGUGAAUGGACAACCUUCAAUAGGAACGAACGAGCAUUACCACCAUCGCUAUUCAUAGAUAAUAAGCACAUCGAUGCUGGAGUUCAACGUGUUGCUCUCGGCUGUCAUAUCUCCUCCUAUACACCACCUCGGAGUCUUGUCUGCAAGGCCAAACAGUAGAAGGCUCUUUUAAGUGAAGAAGAUGAGAGAUCACACGAUAAAGCAACAACACGUUGUAGCGUAAACAUGAGAUGAGGAAUUAAAUGGAUAAGAAAGAUUUAGCAAUUGAUCUAGCAAGAAAGAAGGAUCAGGAGACAUGCUAUAUGCUUCUACUCAUUAGAACACGAAAGCACACAAUAAUUUCUCAUCAAUCAGUACCACCAUCAGGGUGUCUCACCAUUAAAAGGGCUUUUCUGUCGACUACCCAAAGAGAAACAAAUGCUUAUUAAUCAGCUUGAGUGUGAACUACAGAUGCAAGUGAUCAGGAAGUAUGUGCCCACGGAAACAUCAAUAUCCUUGAACUAAAAAUUAGAUUUAUCAUGUGAAGAGUUACGACCAUCUCCAUAGUCCUUCCAUAUCUCCUAUUGGCAGCGCACCUUUGGCGGCACUCAUGACAAAUGCACCUAAGCUCUGUUUGUAUGGUGGCUUUGUAACCUGCCCUUACAUCAAGAAUUCACCAUCACAAAGUCUCCCUUCUUCACAAAUGGCACAUUCCUUCCACCAACAAUCUUAAACAUCUAUUUUCUAAGAUUACAAAACUGGUCAUUUACAACAACAAUAUAGCUUUUGGAAAUAAUGAGACUAGUAAAAAGAAAAUUAUGCUAGGAAUAUGGAAAAUCUAGCAAUUGAACUAGCCACAAAAUGGGACCAAGAAACCAGUUAUGCUUCCACUCAUUAGAACAAUAACAUAACCUUAUGUUUCUUUGGAAAACAGAUGACCCUUGCAAAGAAAGAUUCAUGGUUUAUGUCAUAGAUUUAGAUGAACCAGCAAUGAAACAUGGAAAAUCAAGCAAUUGAACUAGCAACAAAAUGGGACCAAGAAACCCGUUGUGCUUCCACUCAUUAGAACAAUAAGAAAACCUUAUGUUUCUUUGGAAAACAGAUGACCCUUGCAAAGAAAGAUUCAUGGUUUAUGCCAUAGUUUUAGAUGAACUAGCAAUGAAAUAGGGCAAAGACACAUGAUAUGUAUACAUUCAUUAGACCAUAAAGCACAAGAGUUUAUCAAUCAUCAAUUUGCUACUUAAAUAAGUCUUGCAAAAAAUUAAAAAUAAAUCAUGCCCUGUACUAUCUGUUAAUUUCGUCUUGUGAGCUAAUCAACAGAAUGCUAACCAAGAUUGUUAUGCAUCCUCACAUCCGGUAUGCUAAAUCUACAUAGACCAAGGUUAACUAUAGCCUGAUGCACCAAUAACUACUAGAAGGCAAUGGUCUUAUCUCCAAUCAUCAAUAAAUAAGCUAGAAAUACUCGUUGGAACUUGCACGAGUUCCAAUCUAAAGGAGCAGCCUUUCAUCAAUUCUACCAAGCAAACACACAAUUAUACAAUCGUCAGUCUACGAAGCCAAGGCAUGAUCAUAACCUCUAACGCGGCAACUUCUCUUCAAUUACACCCAGAAAACACUGAGAUCCAGAGGUAAGAAUGAAGUCCGAGACAUUCAAGACGCCCAACAUCUGGAACUAAGGCCGCAGCUUUUCAUCGAUUCCACCAAGAAAUCAAUCGAACAAAACCCUAAAUAGAACCAUAACCACCACGCAGCUUCGACACCGGAAAUGAUCAAGAGUCGCCCAUCUCCUAAACCUAAAACAGAAACGCGAUUCUUCUCGAUUCAACCAUGAGAACACUGAGAUCAAGAGGAAGGAAACCUCGAACACCCCACGACCGGGAUUAGGAGGGCAAGGCCUCGGAGUUGUGGAUGAAGGCGACGGCGGAAAGGAUGGCGGCGGCGAAGGCGAAGAUCCCGAGCACAAGCAUGAGAGAGAUCCCGGCGGCUGUCAGAUCCAUCACCAGUUGGAGGAGACGGAAAAGAUCCGCCAUCGCCGCAUCUCCUCCUUAAGUCGGUGGUGUCGAUCUACGUACGAGUCAUGCUACGGCGAUCACUACACUGCCCGACACGACGUAACAUUCCACCUCAUACGGUAUUCAAUUCGACACAACGUUAUCUGCAGCGAGGAUACUAUAAUAUUGGUUCGGGUCCCACCGUGUUAGGCCGGUAUAUUAUUUGGUUGACCUAGUAAAAAAAGAAUCAUUUUCUCGAUAUAAAACUAUAGCGGGCAGCCGACAACAGCCGAGCCUUCCAAAAUCUUGUUCAAAUGCACACCGCGUGGUCGUGACCCAAAUUCCUACCCGGUCAAUUAGAUGCGGCAGUUGGUUGGUGUGGUUCACCAACUCCGUAGAGGAAGCACUCGGUCUCCAUCUACUUUGGGUACACCGUUCAUAUAAGCUAUAAAGGAUCCAUCUCUGACCGUUGGUUCUAUUACCUACUAUAAUCUUGACAGUAAAAUAAAUAUAUAUCAAAAUAUUAAUUUGACCAAAUACACGGACGGUCGAGAUGGUAUAAUUAGAUAAAAUGGACGGCUUAGAAAAGAUCUUUCUAUAAUUUUUCUAUGCGGUACUACGCACUGCUAUGCCAUGACACGAAUGAGAAAGAGAUUGGGGCUUCAGUCCGGUGAUUGGCUGAUUCGGAUUCCCGCCGCGGAUCAUCGUACCGGGUUGCGGAAAGGCCCUCGGAAAGCGUAUGAGGCACGUGGCGAUUGGCGGAACCAUCGGGGCCCACGGGAUAUCGCGGUCAAACUAUCCUGCAGCCUGACUGAGCGUAGUCAGCCGAGCCCGUUCUUUCGGUAGAUAAGGCCAGCUCUUCCCCCUUCGCCGCUGAAGCCCAACCAUCCCCUUCAUCAAAGCCUCCUCCUCCACCGUCGUCAAGGUACAUCCCCAUGCAAUCCGUGGUUGGUAUCAUACCUCAAUUGGUUCUUUUGGAGACGAGAUCGAUCUGGGACCUGUGACGAUGGAUCGAGCGGCUGAUGUUAUGCAGAAC